UACGUAGGGAGCAAGCGUUGUCCGGAAUCAUUGGGCGUAAAGCGCGCGUAGGCGGCCCUGUAAGUCCGCUGUGAAAGUCAAAGGCUCAACCUUUGAAAGCCGGUGGAUACUGCAGGGCUAGAGUCCGGAAGAGGCGAGUGGAAUUCCUGGUGUAGCGGUGGAAUGCGCAGAUAUCAGGAGGAACACCAAUAGCGAAGGCAGCUCGCUGGGACGUUACUGACACUGAGGCGCGAAAGCGUGGGGAGCGGACAGG
rnacentral:rRNA from 1 species